CUCAUCUCAAUGCUGCUUAUCAUUGCCUUAAAUACCUCUUAAAAGAUCCUGGUCUGGGGUUGUUUUUGAAUUCGAGAUAUGACUUUUAAUUGCUAGAGUUUUGCGACUCUGAUUGGGGUUUUGUCCUCAAUCCCGGAAAUCUAUCAGCGGUUUCUUUAUCAACUUGGGAGGGUCUCCUAUUUCCUGAAAUCAAAGAAACAGUCCUCAGUAUCCCUUUCUUCUGCUGAGGCAGAAUAUCGCUCAAUGAGAAGAGUAACGACAGAAAUUACCUGGUUGGUAUGCUUAUUAAGUGAUU
rnacentral:lncRNA from 1 species